GGGUAACAUGAUCACCGGGUGCGGACUGGCCUGGGAGUUGACAAACACGGUGUCGCUACCACAUCUCGCGAUUGCUUCUCAUGUACUGCAGGAUGGCCGUGGACAGCUCUGUUGCCGUGUCAUCAAAAAGCUGCAACAGUCAAGCACACCACUUAUGACUGGAAAGGAGCCUAGCACACACACCAGUUUCAGCACUUCGUCCUGCUCCUCGGGGGACAGGCUCUCAAUGCGGUACAC